AUACGGAGGGUCCGAGCGUUAUCCGGAAUCAUUGGGUUUAAAGGGUCCGUAGGCGGGCCUGUAAGUCAGGGGUGAAAGUUUGUGGCUCAACCAUAAAAUUGCCUUUGAUACUGCAGGUCUUGAGUCAUGGUGGGGUUGCCGGAACAUGUGGUGUAGCGGUGAAAUGCAUAGAUAUCACAUAGAACACCGAUCGCGAAGGCAGGUGACCAACCAUGUACUGACGCUGAUGGACGAAAGCGUGGGUAGCGAACGGGAUUAGAUACCCCGGUAGUCCACGCCGUAAACGAUGGAUACUAGCUGUGGGGACUUCGGUCUCCGUGGCCAAGCGAAAGUGAUAAGUAUCCCACCUGGGGAGUACGUUCGCAAGAAUGAA
rnacentral:rRNA from 1 species